GCCGCCGCCGCCUUACCCCGGGCGCGUCCCCGUCCUGCCGGGCCCCGCCGCUGCCGCCCGCCGACAUUUUGUCCGCGCGGAGGCCGCUGUGGCGUCGCCUUCGCCAGGGCAACCGGCGGCCGCCCGCCCUCCGUCCCACCCUCCGUCCCUCCGUCCCUCCGUGUCAGGGGCCCAGCGACAGCCGCGGGAACGGGACCCUGAGCAGGGACCGGCUGGCUCCCGGCGUGGCGCUGAGCUGCCACGGGUUCGGGGCGAGUGGUUUCUAAUGGAUGGUGACCCUCAGUGUGACAACAGCCCCACCGUCCUCCACCCACAUGGGUUGCCAGAAAAAAUCUUUUACAGGACUUGCUGCUGCCUGCCAUACCUCCAUCCUAGGAAAGAGGGAUGCUUCACUGAGGCAACGUGACACAAAAGUGUUUCAUUCUUCCUUGUCGGUGAGGUUGUUUGCCCAGGGCCAUCUGUGCUGCUCAGAUUACCCUGCUCCGGGUCAAGCGGUCACGGAGGGAGCGUUUCCCGCCCCACAUUUACACUCCUGGGCCUGAGCACAGUUCCAAUUUUCUGGAGGGGAGAGAGAGAAGAGCAGAAUUUUGGAAUGAAUUGUGCUACACAUGAAUGGAGAUAACAAAACAAAGAGAACCAGAGGGAAAUGUCUUGGGCAUAGCUCAGGAUACACAGAGACAGACAUCCCUAGGGAAGGAGAGUUGCAAAAAGGCAUCAAAAUGGAGUUCACUGAACUGCCUUUGAAAGCUUUUGGAAGUGUCUUUUUUUAGCAAGCCUUUAAAGUCAAUUAUCCUCCCAGAAUGUGUUUCAUGUUUGUCUUGAGGAUAAAGACAGUGAGAGUUCAUUAUUUAUCUGCCUCAUACCUCAGCUUGGCCUCUGAGCGUGCAGGUCCCUGGCCCUGUGCUAGACAAGAGGCAGCAGAUGCCUCUCCAUUGACAGGAGAGCAGGAAAAGCACCUUCCCCUCAGUGCUGGCUGUGAGCUGGAGAAAGGCAUUCCUCCUUGGAAGCAGGAGACACCGUAUUCCCUGACUGUCAAACACAAUUCAUAAUGGAAGAAAAAACAAAGCCACGCUGAAGUACAGUAGGGAAAAUCCUGGAAAAUAGUUUAGACGGUAUUUAAGCACAACUUCUUCCCCGCAAAGAGGGCUUGUGUUAGAUCCCAAGCUCCAGAAAUGGAGGAAAAAUGAACACAGUUUUUUAGAAUUGACCUGGCAAAAUGGAGUUGGCUCCUGCCUGUCACAGGACGACACAGUGGAGAUUGUCCUCGUGCAGGCAGCCAGGCCUUUCGUUCCCCAAAACACCUCUUCCAUUCUGUUGAAGAUCAUCCUCAAAGGAGUGUAUCUGUCCAGCACAGGAGACUUCCAGUGUUUUUGAGUUAGAAAAGACAGGAAUUUUAGCACUAAUGCAGCAACAUCAGUUUCUAGACAUGCACAAUCUGUCUGCAGAAGGGGAGAGGAAGCCCCCAACCUACCUGCUCUGAGCUCAGCUGCUGCGCUCUUCAGUAAGGACAGACGUUUGGAAAAUGGGAAAGAACAAGAAAGAUCUCGGUCCUGCCAAUACUGGUCGUGUUUCUGACAUGCUUAAACUUUCACACAUGCCUUCAUUAAGAGUAAUGGGACUUAAAAUUAACUCCUGUGUAUUACUUUAGGUGUGUUUCUUAUACACUGCUGACAAGGAGCUCAAUCCCUGCGUCAAACGAAGGUUUUCAGAGCCAUUAGGUACAGGAACUGCAGCAGGGUCCUUGAAUGAUAUUCCUUAGAUGAUAUUCCCUGGAGAUGUCCACUCAGUCCAUCUGAGUUCAGGUUCAUCUCACAGCUGUUAAAUAAUUCCCCUCAGUAUCUUCGAGUUAGUUCCGUCAGCACUAGUUCUCUGUUUACACAAUAAUUCUGGAUCUGUUUGUUCUUUGCUGGAGUUAUGUAUGAUCACAUAAUCUGCAUAUAAGUUGCCACCUUUUUUGCCCGUUUUGCACAGGUGCAGAAACUACAAAACAAGGCAAGUUCAGGUGGUUGUGUAGGAGUCAGCCAAUGUGGCCUCCAUUUAUGGGCCUGCCUACUGCAUAAAGGGAAAUAUAGAGCGUGGGCUUCUGUGCUGUAGUUAAACACAACACAGACCCAUUUCUUCCAAGUAUCAGGCUGUGAAAAAAAUGUUAAAUUCUACUUUACUGCUACGCCUGAGAAGGAAAUCUCUUCUUUAGACAAAAUGGGACCCCGAUCUUAUUUUAGGCCUUUGUGGAAUCUUAUUUUAAGCUUGCUAGGAACAGGCUUACAGUUGAAGGGCUUCACACUCAAAAGGCACAGAAAAAAAAAAGUUUUUUUUUUUUGAAGAAGAAGACUGAUUGAUGAUGAGAUAUGGGAGCACAGACGUAGCUUCUGAGGCCCACAGCCCACUUUCACCACAAAAAUGCAACCUGGGAGUCUGGCCCUCUUGUUUAAUCUCUCUCAGUUUAGUCUCAUUCUGCCUUAAACACCUGGUGUGAUUUCAGGGUGGCAACCCUCUGGUGCCAGCCCGGCAUGGCAUAGCAGAUUUUGCAGAAGAGAAUUCACUAAUUAUUUUUUGUUUGUCCUAUGAUGCCCACACAGCUGUAAAUAAACGUGAUUACAAGCUGACAUGGCUGGGAACUAAAUUCAUGAAGAACUAAAUAAUAAACUGGUCUUCCAGCUGCUGGUUUAGACUGCAAGCAACAAUGAAAUGAUACGUAUUUUUGCCAUGUAUUGUCAUAGUCUAUGAUCCUGCAAACAUGAUGCACAUCUGUUGAACUUUAUUCUGAUAUGUAGGGCCAGCGAUUUCAAUCUGGGACUGAUAGAUAUUCAGAAUGCUUUAAUGGCUCUACAGGUUAAGUUUUGGCCAGGCAGAUGUGACAGGGUCCAACAAAAGAUCUCAACAGAGGCAACCCUGGCUCUGUUAAUACAAUUGAUAAUAAGUGAAAAUUGCCACAAAACUAGAAAAUAUCACCCAGGACAUUCACCUUGCCAGUUUACCUGCAUACUGAUGUAGUUUUCUUGCAAAAAGCAUAGCAGUUCGCGAUUUUAAAUUGUUGUUGGACUGGGUAGUUCACAGUUUACUUCUGAUUACAAUUUUUACUUGUAUUUUUCUCUUCUUUAUUUUUUGGAUGACCUUCAGAAAUUUUCAAUUGAUGUUAAAAAAUGUUUUUAGUAAGAGGGAGGAACAAAAGAGCUUAUUUUUUGUGGAUCUGAUGAGAGGUUUUAUAAGGGGAAGAUCGCUGUCAUUGUCAUCGCUAUUAACGUUCUGAUUUUGGAGCAGUGGAAACGUAAGCAAAGAUUUAUUUUUGAAAGGCCUCGCUUUGGUUGAUGACAAAA